rnacentral:rRNA from 1 species
GACGAACGCUGGCGGCGUGCUUAACACAUGCAAGUCGAGCGGUAAGGCCCUUUCGGGGGUACGACGAGCGGCGAACGGGUGAGUAACACGUGGGUGACCUGCCCUCAGCUCUGGGAUAAGCCUGGGAAACCGGGUCUAAUACCGGAUAUGACUCCAUGACGCAUGUUGUGGGGUGGAAAGCCUUGUGCGGCUGAGGAUGGGCCCGCGGCCUAUCAGCUUGUUGGUGGGGUGAUGGCCUACCAAGGCGACGACGGGUAGCCGGCCUGAGAGGGCGACCGGCCACACUGGGACUGAGACACGGCCCAGACUCCUACGGGAGGCAGCAGUGGGGAAUCUUGCGCAAUGGGCGAAAGCCUGACGCAAGCGACGCCGCGUGAGGGAUGACGGCCUGUGU